AUUGAACGCUGGCGGCAGGCCUAACACAUGCAAGUCGAACGAGCGGCGGACGGGUGAGUAAUGUCUGGGAAACUGCCUGAUGGAGGGGGAUAACUACUGGAAACGGUAGCUAAUACCGCAUACCAUCAGAUGUGCCCAUAUGGGAUUAGCUUGUAGGUGGGGUAAAGGCUUACCUAGGCGACGAUCCCUAGCUGGUCUGAGAGGAUGAUCAGCCACACUGGGACUGAGACACGGUCCAGACUCCUACGGGAGGCAGCAGUGGGGAAUAUUGCACAAUGGGCGCAAGCCUGAGGCAGCCAUGCCGCGUGUAUGAAGAAGGCCUUCGGGUUGUAAAGUACUUUCAGCGGGGAGGCGUUACCCGCAGAAGAAGCACCGGCUAACUCCGUGCCAGCCGCCGCGGUAAUAC
rnacentral:rRNA from 1 species